rnacentral:rRNA from 1 species
AUUGAACGCUGGCGGCAGGCCUAACACAUGCAAGUCGAGCGGAUGACGGGAGCUUGCUCCUUGAUUCAGCGGCGGACGGGUGAGUAAUGCCUAGGAAUCUGCCUGGUAGUGGGGGACCACGUUUCGAAAGGAGCGCUAAUACCGCAUACGUCCUACGGGAGAAAGCAGGGGACCUUCGGGCCUUGCGCUAUCAGAUGAGCCUAGGUCGGAUUAGCUAGUUGGUGGGGUAAUGGCUCACCAAGGCGACGAUCCGUAACUGGUCUGAGAGGAUGAUCAGUCACACUGGAACUGAGACACGGUCCAGACUCCUACGGGAGGCAGCAGUGGGGAAUAUUGGACAAUGGGCGAAAGCCUGAUCCAGCCAUGCCGCGUGUGUGAAGAAGGUCUUCGGAUUGUAAAGCACUUUAAGUUGGGAGGAAGGGCAGUAAGUUAAUACUUUGCUGUUUUGACGUUACCGACAGAAUAAGCACCGGCUAACUCUGUGCCAGCAGCCGCAGUAAUAC